rnacentral:rRNA from 1 species
UACGUAGGGUGCAAGCGUUGUCCGGAAUUAUUGGGCGUAAAGAGCUCGUAGGCGGUUUGUUGCGUCGGCUGUGAAAUCCCGAGGCUCAACCUCGGGUCUGCAGUCGAUACGAGCAAACUAGAGUGUUUCAGGGGAGACUGGAAUUCCUGGUGUAGCGGUGAAAUGCGCAGAUAUCAGGAGGAACACCGGUGGCGAAGGCGGGUCUCUGGGCAACAACUGACGCUGAGGAGCGAAAGCGUGGGGAGCGAACAGG